rnacentral:lncRNA from 1 species
CACCCAAGACUUCAAACAAUCUGACACAGUCUGGAGAUCUCUCCCCUACAACCACCAGAUACCGGUCACUGUCUGUGGAAUCUGUCCUCCCACACUUCCAUCCAGAUCAGCAGCAAUCCAGUGAAGACCUCCUUAGAGCCAACAGGACUUAGAACCUGCAGUGAUGCUCAAGAACAAGAUGGAAGGGGGAAGACACAAAUUGAAGAGCUGAAGGUGGUGGGAAUGGAGACUCCAUCCAAAUGUGGAGUGAGGUGUGGCCCAGACCUGCCUGAUGGGAGGACCAAAUGGGCAUCCCCCAUGUCUCUUCCACAGAGGCUUCCCAAAGAAAGAGCAGAAGGAUGAUGCAGGUACGAUCA